rnacentral:rRNA from 1 species
AGAGUUUGAUCCUGGCUCAGGAUGAACGCUAGCGGCAGGCCUAAUACAUGCAAGUCGAGGGGUAGAGUUAGAGCAAUCUGACUUGAGACCGGCGCACGGGUGCGUAACACGUAUGCAACCUACCUUUUACUGGGGUAUAGCUCAGAGAAAUCUGAAUUAAUCCCCCAUAACAACAGAUGAUGGCAUCAUUAACUGUUUAAAGCUGAGGCGGUAAAAGAUGGGCAUGCGGUGUAUUAGCUAGUUGGUGAGGUAAUGGCUCACCAAGGCUACGAUACAUAGGGGUUCUGAGAGGAUGAUCCCCCACACUGGUACUGAGACACGGACCAGACUCCUACGGGAGGCAGCAGUAGGGAAUAUUGGUCAAUGGACGCAAGUCUGAACCAGCCAUGCCGCGUGCAGGAAGACGGCCCUCUGGGUUGUAAACUGCUUUUAUAUGGGAAGAAACCUUCGGAUGCGUUCGAAGCUGACGGUACCAUAUGAAUAAGGAUCGGCUAACUUCGUGCCAGCAGCCGCGGUAAGACGAAGGAUCCAAGCGUUGUCCGGAUUUACUGGGUUUAAAGGGUGCGUAGGCGGAAAAUUAAGUCAGUGGUGAAAGCCCGCAGCUCAACUGCGGAACUGCCAUUGAAACUGAUUUUCUUGAAUACGGUUGAGGUAGAUGGAAUAUAACAUGUAGCGGUGAAAUGCUUAGAUAUGUUAUAGAACACCAAUUGCGAAGGCAGUCUACUAAGCCGUGAUUGACGCUGAGGCACGAAAGCGUGGGGAGCGAACAGGAUUAGAUACCCUGGUAGUCCACGCCCUAA